ACUCCCAAUGUGAGUAUCUGCUAAACAGCUGAAAUCACUGACAUACAUUGUCACACAUUGCAAUGGAGUGUCUUUCAAAAAGCUUCUUGUGCUAGGAUGUAGCUGUAGACUGAUACAACCUCAGUGACUUACUGUCUGAUUUAUAUUUGGUCUUUUUAGAACACUGUUAAUUGCGAGUCACCGUGCUACCAACUGAGAGUUGUCCACCUACCAAUAACUAAUCCUUUCAGUGAGGAAGCUAAGUUCAAGGUGGUGCUGGUAGAAUCUCCCUUUAAUCCACUAGGACCUGAAAAGAAAAAAGACAGCCUUGUUCAGCAAGCUUCAUCCAAAGCCAAUAUAGGGAAAACUUCUGACAGGAGUCAUAGGGGUGACAUGGAAGAGAACCCCUCAGAUCACAAUGGUGAUGACAGCGAAUUCCUCAGUCCAGUGAAGAUUGUUUGUCUGAGGCCAGGCCAGACAGACACUUUGAACAUCUACUACCUUCCCUUCUGGCCAGGAAACAAGUACUGCUCUGUGCUGCUAGUUUGCCCGCAGGUGGGUGACAUGGUCUAUAUUGUGAAAGCUACAGCGGAAUUACCUCUUGCUUCGCCCCUCACUGCCAGACCCAGUUCUAACAUAGUCUCCGUCCCUAGUAACUCAGGUGGGAAUUUUGGAUUUUUUCUUGGACAUUACAAAAUGUAAUACUAAAACUAAAUGCUAAUAUUAUAAUAAUUAUUAUUUUGACAAUUUACUUUGUGUUUAACUUUACUUGAAUAGUGUAUUUAAUUUCGGUAUUUACUGUACUAUCAAGAGUUAGUGAAAUUGUUUUGGUUUUUUUUACUCUUUUUUUUUUUCCUCCACUAGACUCCCCUGAGUGUGCUUCAGCACUAAGCCUGUGCUGUGAAGUGGAGCAGGUGUGUGAGGAAGUGUUGCGUGUACCACUGAUCAACGUGGCCUGGGAGCAAGCUCUGG
rnacentral:lncRNA from 1 species